ensembl:lncRNA
CGCAACCAAGUGCAUAAUUGGAGGGGGGCACUCACCCAUUUUCCUUAACAAACGGAAAUAUAUUAAAAAUGAGUAGACGUAAAUAAAUAGAAUAGAUGAAAAGACAGAUCAGUUUGAAAGGUUCAUUAAAGGGGGACAUAUAGAAAACAUUUUCUACUGUAUAUUGGGAGGGAAAGAUUGGUAUUACCUCAACAUUGGCGGGGACACGCCCCCCCCUCAAAAAGAAUACGUGGUUACGCCCAUAGUUGUAGGAGACACAGCAGCGACGGAGUCGGAGUAGGAGACACAUUUUUCCUCAGGAGUCACGACACAGCAGACACGGGGUUUUCUUUCUUCAAUUUUAACUUUUCUCAGGAGUUUAAGUCAUCUGGUAGGCGUGGUUGAGUGCGCAGGUGCGUCAUUCAAACCGAGCGAGAUGACCGUUGAGGAUCAGACAGCGCGAGACAGCUCCUUUCAGGGUGGUUCCUACUAGGUCUGCUAAUGGGACCGCCCUCCUGACUGGCUGCCUAUAAAGUCACCCGCUCUAGCGGUGCUGAGCAGCGAGAUGUCACAGAGAAGAGUGUGUCCAGUUUGUCGGCGUUUCUACACCAACGUGCAGGCUCAUCUCGCCCAGAUUCAUCAGCAGGGUCCAGAGGAACGCUGGCUUCACCUGGCGGCAGCGAGCGAGCGGGUGAUAUGCGGGUGCUCUGGACUGCCCGGUGUCUGCAUGUGGCAAGAAAGGUUUCCGCCGGCUAGACUGCCACCUGUUCCACCUUCACCAGCUCGCCGGGGACACGGUCAGGAAGCUACUGCUCAGCGCCAAAAUAAAGCUGCAACAACUGCAAGCUUUCGGUGAGACGAACAAAUCUAAAAGUUGCAAAUGUUCUGAACUGAUCGAAAAGUAGCAAAACUCUCCGCAGAAUUUGAGCGGCUGCAAGCGAUAGUAGCCCGGAAAGAGUAGUGGCUCUGUGGGUGAGUACCUAAACUAUCUCUAGGCCUAUUUUUAUUGUGUGUGGGCGGCGGACUCCAGGUGGUCGCCCGGGGUGGACGUCCCAGGAUGAAAUUUGUUUUUCUUUCACUGAUCCCCCCCCUUUUUUUUCUCUUUUCCAGAGCCAAUGUUAAGUGUACACGGCUUGGCUGACAAGUCUCAGAGAUGUCCCCAAAGCCGCGGCCAACGGCAAGCAGGAGAGGAGACACGUCGAGCGCUUCCUUCACUUUAUGUGGGCCAACACAGACAGUCCCCUGGCAGCUGCUGGCUCAUUACCCAAAAACACUUAAAAUUUAACAUAGAAGCCAAUACUCACAUCAACCUCUGAACCCAGUUGGAGAUAGAAAAAAAGACACCAGCCGUGAGUGAGAAGAAGCAAGGGUCCAGAUUUAUUGUUCCGUUCCACCACACGAGAUCCACACCGAUGAGAAUUCUCAGAAGUGAUCUGAUACCCUGAGCUUAAGCUCCAGUAUUUAUACUGUAAUUACACAGUAAAUAACCCAUAUGUUUCAAGAAGAC